UGAGUGGCAUUUUCUUGCGAAGA
rnacentral:miRNA from 1 species